GGUGAGGUACGUUAUAAAAAGACACCCCUUUCGGACUUGGUUUCCAACUCAUUCGAGAGUUUGUAAGAUUUUUUUUAUUGAAAAUUCUUGGAGUUGGGAUUGAAAAACUAAGGUGCUGCUUGAUGACAAUGAGAGCACAUCUGGCUUGGUUCUCUUUUGAUUGUAGGUCGCAGAUGAUUAUAAAUUGCAAACUGUAGUUGCAGGCUAAUUUGAUAGGCUAAUAGAAAGGAUUUUCGAAGGCAUCGAUGGC
rnacentral:lncRNA from 1 species